GAUGCCAUCGAGAAUAAACUAAUUUGCGCUGGAAAAUUAGCCGACUACGCAGCGUGCCAAUGUGAUCCGUCCGCCGGCGAGUACUCCUGCAUUAAUGCUCAGUUUGUCGAUGCAAACGUCUUUUUGGACAUUGCCACUAAUUACAAGUGAGUUCUCAUUUCGCCCAUCUGUCAAUAAUUUUUCAAACAUUUCAGAUAUAUCAAAAGUGUGACAUUCCACGGAAACAAUUUCCAAGAUCUAACAUCCACCCCAUUGUUUGGAGCCGACUCGCAGACUAGUCUUAUCAAGCUGAACCUCUCGGCUAAUUACAUUGGUAAGCGGAUGCCGUUCGGGCAAAACAAGAGGUCCUACUGCUUCUUGAGAGACCAUUAAUUACUUCCUUAAAACCAAGGAAGCCGAAGGAUAAUAGUUGUUUACUAGAUUUCGAAAUUCAUUAACGAUUUGCAAUGAAAUAGUAAAAGUUUUGAAAAAUGGAGCCAAUUUUCAGUGAACCUGAAUAGCAAUGCACUCCGAAAUAUGCCGAAUUUGCAAGUUUUGGACAUUUCCAAUAAUGAAAUUGUAUUCCGACCUAGAGAUGUCGAUUUUCUCAAACAUACUCCACAUUUGACGCAGG
rnacentral:sRNA from 1 species